GAUGCGACCUCAGCUCAGGCGGGGCUACCCGCUGUGUUUAAGCA
rnacentral:rRNA from 1 species